UACGUAGGGUGCGAGCGUUGCCCGGAUUUAUUGGGCGUAAAGGGCGCGCAGGCGGCUCGGCACGUCCGUUGUGAAAUCGCCCGGCUCAACUGGGCGGGGUCAGCGGAUACGGUCGAGCUUGAGCAAGCUAGGGGGUAAUGGAAUUCCCGGUGUAGUGGUGGAAUGCGUAGAUAUCGGGAGGAACACCAGUGGCGAAGGCGGUUACCUGGAGCUUUGCUGACGCUGAGACGCGAAAGCGUGGGGAGCGAACAGG
rnacentral:rRNA from 1 species